AUAUAUAUAUAUAUAUAUAUAUAUAUAUAUAUAUAUAUAUAUAUGUGUUCUUUGGGAACAAACAAACCAAAGAAACCACAGCAUGCACACACAUAGAAAUAUAAAUUGAGAGAGAGGUGGGGAUAUAUGAAUUAGAUUAGUAUAACUAUGCAUUUCUCGACAGAAGUUUGAAAUUUGUAAUUCCAAUAUGUUAAGAAAUAUUUCGUCGUGUAAUUGCGCUAAAAAUAAAAUUCGCUAUCAUAUAUUUA